UUUUCAUAAAUGUUGACAUUACUGAUAUAAUAUCCAGACUGAAGUGGAUUCUGUGCUCUUAUCUUUAGCAAUAGGCCAACAGUAGGAGUGUCAUAUAUGCUAACGUUACUUUUUAUGCUAACGUUAUGUGUGUGGGUGCAUCUCUAGUUUUAAUCUGGGCUUCCCAUUGUUGGUCUGGGAUGUGCACUGUUCAUGUUUCACCAUCUGUAGGAUGAACUUUGUGUAGCUUCUGUUUGCUGUAUUACUGGUAGCAGCAGUUGUUUCUGUCGUGUAAGCUAACUAGAGCAGACAUGUGUCUAAUGUGUGGCAUGCAGUUAAAAAAAUGUUUGGAAAUGCAAGUAUGAGUGGUGCAAAUUCACCUCUAAAAUGCAAUUUUAGAUACUUAUUUUUAUAUUUAGAUAUAAUACUGCUUACUGGCAAAUUACAUCAUUUUUUAAGACUGAAAAUGUCCAUAUAUUAGCUAUUAGAAAUGUGUUUUUUACCCCUCGUUUCCUCGAUUGUUUGUAAAUGGGAAACCCGUCUAUACUGGUUAAACUGUCAUGUCAAACAAUAUUAACGACCUGUUGUACAGGAUUUCCAUGACCAGUAUAUAAUAUAUAACAUUUUAAUGUUUUCAAAUGGCCUAUUCAACUAUUUUGCAUGACUAAUUACACAUUUUUAAGGACCAAGACUCUCUCACUCUCACUUUAACUGUGUUUUAUUCAUUGAUGUAACCCAAGAUGAUGGAUUCUGAGAUGGGAGAACUUUUAUGAGGUGCAAAUUACAGGUGACAGACCUGCAAUGAAUAGCUGUGCCAGGUAGCUGCUCGCUACUCACUGCACCUUUGUCUACUUGAGUGUUUAUGCCAUGUUCAAACUUUUAGAUAUCAUUUAGCUACAUUUAAUGCUAUCCUGACUUUUCAUUGCAUUUUCAGUUUGUGUGCAUUUUCUGUUUGAAAAAUGUGAAAAGGGUAGUGAAAAGGUGUACACUGGAGUGUAAAGUGUCACAAUGUAUAGAUUACAGUGGAAAUAUUUCAGCAUUUACAGCCAAAAUGAAUUAAAUAGGAUAUUUGACAUGCAAACGUUGGUGUCUUUGUCACUUGUUGCUGACAUGUUGCUAAGUUAUGUCUUGAGGUAAUCAUAAUUAAAUAAUCCAGUAUAUUUUCGGCAAGCUAAAAGAGAUGGUUCCUAUGAAAAUGUUUUUGCUAAAGUAAGGCCACUACUUUUUUCUAUGGCCUGUGUGUCUCUCUUAGCAUUAAUUUGUAUUGUAAUAUCAGAGUAUUUGAAGUACAGUAUACUUAAACAAGAAUCAUCACAAAAGUAGAGGUGGCUAUUGAGGAAUUUGCUUGUGAAUGUAGUUGUGGCGCUAAAACAUGCUCUCACAUUCCCCGUAGAGUAAAUGUAACUUUAAAUAAUGGGAAUCUGAGAUGAUUGUAUAGCUAGGCCUAAUGAAAGGUGGCAAGGAGAUGUUAUAGUGAAAAGUUUGUUUGUAGUUUUUUGUUUGGUUUUAAGGCUUGUGAGAGCAACUGUGAGUUAUUAACAGUAAGUUGAUGUAGGCAAAGCAAGUUUCAACAUUUUAACUGGGCAGUUGAAGGGCAGAAAGUUGCUGUGUUAUUGAAGAAGCCAAAGGAGGACACUGCCCUCUGCAAUGCGUUUGGCAUUUUACAGAACUAGGUGUACUGUACACGACACUUCUAAUCUCUACUGAAAUUGCUGCCAUGUUUAGUUUGGGGGUUUUUUGGACAAUGACACAAAGGAGGUGGAACCAAAAGGCAGCUUUCAAGUCUGUCCUGUCUUUGCUCAUGAUGACCUGGGAGACAAUUCUCUCCUUUUGAAGUGCAUCAGUUGUGUCUGAGUGCUUUGUUAUGCGUAGUGGCUGCAGGGAGGACCUCAGGAGCAGACCCCUAGUUCCUCCAUUUCAUUUACUUUCAAGAAGGGUGAAGGGUAAAGCCACUGGAAUGAUGAAACACAGUUACCCAGCUCUCAUUGUUUUUAAGGGGCGCCUGUAUGCGUUCACGUUUCUCUUUAACUCUGAGCGCAGGGGGAAAUUAUAAUUAAUCUGUUAAUGACAGUCGGGGCUGUCAUAAGCUCGGGGAGUGUAUAAUAAAUUGCUGUAAUAAAAAUUAAGAUUGCAUGCAUCAUUGAGGCCUUCAGAGGGUUUGUUUAAUGUAGUUACAAAAAUGGUAGCAGCUGAUGUGGCGUCCACUGCUCUACCAGGAGAACGCUAAUUUCUGAGUGACACUUAACCUGCUGUAGCUCAACCACAGCUGAGGGAGGUUAGGGGAAACCUAAUGAGUUUUUCCGCGUCCCAUUUUGAGAACCACUGAACUGGAUGGCCUGGUUUGUAUC